AAGUCCCGCAACGAGCGCAACCCUUAUCCUUUGUUGCCAGCGGUCCGGCCGGGAACUCAAAGGAGACUGCCAGUGAUAAACUGGAGGAAGGUGGGGAUGACGUCAAGUCAUCAUGGCCCUUACGACCAGGGCUACACACGUGCUACAAUGGCGCAUACAAAGAGAAGCGACCUCGCGAGAGCAAGCGGACCUCAUAAAGUGCGUCGUAGUCCGGACUGGAGUCUGCAACUCGACUCCAUGAAGUCGGAAUCGCUAGUAAUCGUGGAUCAGAAUGCCACGGUGAAUACGUUCCCGGGCCUUGUACACACCGCCCGUCACACCAUGGGAGUGGGUUGCAAAAGAAGUAGGUAGCUUAACCUUCGGGAGGGCGCUUACCACUUUGUGAUUCAUGACUGGGGUGAAGUCGUAACAAGGUAACCGUAGGGGAACCUGCGGUUGGAUCACCUCCUUACCUGAAAGAA
rnacentral:rRNA from 1 species